rnacentral:rRNA from 1 species
GACGAACGCUGGCGGCGUGCUUAACACAUGCAAGUCGUACGGUAAGGCCCUUUCGGGGGUACCCGAGUGGCGAACGGGUGAGUAACACGUGAGUAACCUGCCCACAACUUUGGGAUAACGCUAGGAAACUGGUGCUAAUACUGGAUAUGUGCUCCUGCUGCAUGGUGGGGGUUGGAAAGCUCCGGCGGUUGUGGAUGGACUCGCGGCCUAUCAGCUUGUUGGUGGGGUAGUGGCCUACCAAGGCGGCGACGGGUAGCCGGCCUGAGAGGGUGACCGGCCACAUUGGGACUGAGAUACGGCCCAGACUCCUACGGGAGGCAGCAGUGGGGAAUAUUGCACAAGGGGCGCAAGCCUGAUGCAGCAACGCCGCGUGCGGGAUGACGGCCUUCGGGUUGUAAACCGCUUUCAGCAGGGACGAAGCUUUUUGUGACGGUACCUGCAGAAGAAGCACCGGCUAACUACGUG